CCGAGUCCUUCUGAGGCACGAGUUUCCGCCUCCGGGGUUUUGUGGCCCUCCGAAUGCCUGAGCUUCGGUUCUAGGAUUUCAAGAGAAGGUCCACCUAAUGACUCAAGUAARGGUGACUUCCCAAUGAGAGAAGGAGAUUUGAGCUUUAUAGUUGCAAGGUUCUCUGAGCUGAAUAAGGGCUGUAGCUGUGACUCAACAGAUCCAGACUCUUCAAGUGCAAGAAGGUUGCAAGUAGAAACUAGAAGAUUCCUGCUGGGAGCAGGAAAUUUCCUUUCAAGGGAAUGACUCCGGGCUGAAGACCUCCUGCCAGAGCUUUUGGCAUUUCCACUAUCAAGAAGCAUCUGGCUGUUGGAGGCUAAGGCAGGAGGAUUGCAAGUUCAUAGCCAGCCUCAACAAUUUAGUGAGGCCUUAAGUAACUGAACAAGACCCUGUCUCAAGAUAAAAAAAUAAAAGAAGGACUGGGGAUGUUGCUCAGGGACCGAGUGCCCCUGGUUGAAUUCCUGGUACAAAAAAGGAGGAGGAGGAGAAGGAGAAAAGAAGAAAGGAAGAAGAAGAAGCUGGACUCAAGGAGGCCCUUAUUCAUCUCUGGAAGAUUUUUCACCACUGGCUGAGACCAGAAGUUAAUGAAAGAACAGAUCCUGGAAUUACUAGUUCUAGAACAGUUCCUAUCUUUCCCCAAGAGAUCCAGAUCUGGAUUAGACAGCAGCAUACAGAGAUUGGAGAGGAGGCCGUGGCCCUGGUGGAAAAUUUGCAGAAAGAAAUGGGAAGACAGGGGUUGCAGUGAAGAACUGGCAUCCAGAAACAGAGGAACAGUCAAGCCACAAAAUAGAGUUCCCAUCCUUCCAUGGUCAUGGUAAGCAGGAGCUAAUGGGGUUGGAGGGGGCACUGACUAUGGAGAGGGC
rnacentral:lncRNA from 1 species